GACGAACGCUGGCGGCGUGCUUAACACAUGCAAGUCGAACGGAAAGGCCCUGCGUUUGUGGGGUGCUCGAGUGGCGAACGGGUGAGUAACACGCGAGUAACCUGCCCUUGACUUUGGGAUAACUUCAGGAAACUGGGGCUAAUAUCGGAGAGGAGCUCCUGCUGCAUGGUGGGGGUUGGAAAGAGUCGGCGGUGGGGGAUGGACUCGCGGGUUAUCAGCUUGUUGGUGGGGUAGUGGCUUACGAAGGCUUUGACGGGUAGCCGGCCUGAGAGGGUGACCGGCGACCAUGCGCCUGAGAUACGGACCAGUAGCCUACGGGAGGCAGCGGUCGGGAAUAUUGCAGAAUAAGGGGAAGUCUGAUGUGGAGGCGCCGCGUGCGGGAUGCUGGCUUACUGGUUGUAAACCGAUUUCGAAUGUGCCGAAGAGUGAGUGACGGUAAUGGGUAAAGAAGCACCGGCUAACUACGUG
rnacentral:rRNA from 1 species